UACGUAGGGGGCGAGCGUUGUCCGGAUUUAUUGGGCGUAAAGAGCUCGUAGGCGGCUUGGCAAGUCGGGUGUGAAACCUCCAGCUCAACCUGGAGACGCCACUCGAUACUGCCAUGGCUAGAGUCCGGUAGGGGACCACGGAAUUCCGCGGUGUAGCAGUGAAAUGCGUAGAUAUGCGGAGGAACACCGAUGGCGAAGGCAAUCCCCUGGACCUGUACUGACGCUCAUGCACGAAAGCGUGGGGAGCAAACAGG
rnacentral:rRNA from 1 species